UAAUACGUAGGGUGCGAGCGUUAAUCGGAAUUACUGGGCGUAAAGCGUGCGCAGGCGGUUCUCCAAGUCCGUUGUGAAAGCCCCGGGCUCAACCUGGGAAUGGCAGUGGAAACUAGGGGACUGGAAUCUGGCAGAGGGGGGUGGAAUGCCGCGUGUAGCAGUGAAAUGCGUAGAGAUGCGGCGGAACACCGAUGGCGAAGGCAGCCCCCUGGGCUGAGAUUGACGCUCAGGCACGAAAGCGUGGGGAGCAAACAGGAUUAGAUACCCUGGUAGUCCACGCCCUAAACGAUGUCAACUGGUUGUUGGUGGGGUUAAACCCAUUAGUAACGAAGCUAACGCGUGAAGUUGACCGCCUGGGGAGUACGGCCGCAAGGUUA
rnacentral:rRNA from 1 species